rnacentral:lncRNA from 1 species
UGAAGAGGGCUGGAUCUGAGACAAGAAACAUUUCUUUAAUUUUCUCUUCUUUUUUUAACAGGAUUUGCUGUUGCUUUGAAAGCCUCCUGCUAUUUUACAGGCAAUAAAAAAGAGAGACUAAAAACACUUAUUUCCUGAAGCUUGCUCGUUUCUCGAGCUCUGUUAAACCGAGCGUGCCUAGCAGGGGGAAGAGAGGCCUGAGCCCCGUGGACCCUUCGUCCAGUUGGGGAGGCCAAAAUUUCGCUGCCUGCCCCAGCGACGGCCGGCUUCGUUCAGCCUGGGAGCCCCCGUCGGGCGCCCUGACGUGCAGCGGAGACCCAGCUCGAUGCAGCUGGCCACGGGAUCCCACGUGGACUGUCCCCACGGCUCCCACGCUGCAGGCGAGCCGGACGCCGGUUCCCAGCUCUUGCACUGGUGACCRCUCUUGCUUCGCAGGUUUGCAAGAAUACAGAGCAAAGCCUCAACCUGACUGAAAGAAAAAACGUAACCUCAGCUGCUCUUUCCCCCCAUCCUCUCCAGUGCCUGUUAGCAAAGAGGACAGGUAAGCAGAGCCGCAAGCUGCACGAGAAUUAAAGCACAACCUUGUAAAUGCAAUAAAUGGGACGUCAAGGUCUGACCCUGCUCCGGU